CCUACGGGUGGCAGCAGUGGGGAAUUUUGGACAAUGGGGGCAACCCUGAUCCAGCCAUGCCGCGUGAGUGAAGAAGGCCUUCGGGUUGUAAAGCUCUUUCGGCCGGGAAGAAAUCGCACAGGCUAAUAUCCUGUGUGGAUGACGGUACCGGCAUAAGAAGCACCGGCUAACUACGUGCCAGCAGCCGCGGUAAUACGUAGGGUGCGAGCGUUAAUCGGAAUUACUGGGCGUAAAGCGUGCGCAGGCGGUUAGGUAAGUUUGAUGUGAAAUCCCCGGGCUCAACCUGGGAACUGCAUUGAAGACUGCCUAACUAGAGUACGGCAGAGGGGGGUGGAAUUCCACGUGUAGCAGUGAAAUGCGUAGAGAUGUGGAGGAACACCGAUGGCGAAGGCAGCCCCCUGGGCCGAUACUGACGCUCAUGCACGAAAGCGUGGGGAGCAAACAGGAUUAGAUACCCCAGUAGUC
rnacentral:rRNA from 1 species